UGCCAGACUCCUACGGGAGGCAGCAGUGGGGGAUAUUGCACAAUGGGGGGAACCCUGAUGCAGCGACGCCGCGUGAGUGAAGAAGUAUUUCGGUAUGUAAAGCUCUAUCAGCAGGGAAGAGAAUGACGGUACCUGACUAAGAAGCCCCGGCUAACUACGUGCCAGCAGCCGCGGUAAUACGUAGGGGGCAAGCGUUAUCCGGAUUUACUGGGUGUAAAGGGUGCGCAGGUGGCAGGGCAAGUCAGAUGUGAAAGCCCGGGGCUCAACCCCGGAAUUGCAUUUGAAACUGUCCGGCUAGAGUGCAGGAGAGGUAAGCGGAAUUCCUAGUGUAGCGGUGAAAUGCGUAGAUAUUAGGAGGAACACCAGUGGCGAAGGCGGCUUACUGGACUGUAACUGACACUGAGGCACGAAAGCGUGGGGAGCAAACAGGAUUAGAUACCCUGGUAC
rnacentral:rRNA from 1 species